CUGUCGACCUGCAAAUAAGUUAAAUUUAUUUCAAGGCCAAAUGCACGAUUUUAUAGUUUAUCGAUCAUUGUGUCGCCACCUACGUUUGGAAGGUAAGUAACUCUUUGUAACAUGAAGGAAAUCAAGGAAGUAUAACAACAAGUCAACUUUUGCUUUGAAAAAUAUUGGAAACUAAAAAGACAGCAUUUUCUUUGGUCAAAAGCCUCCUGACAACAUCAGAUGGAGGAAGCAAAAGUUGUAACAAUGCUAAAAUUUGGAAAAAUAAAAGAAACAUCACUGUAGCUAAAACAUAUUCAAACAGACACACGAAAUGUUAGCGCAACAUGCUGUCCGAACAACAUAAUAACAGGAUGUGUUACCGCUGAUCCCGCAGUCGGACCAGAACUUCCAGGAGUGAACAAGUCAGUAAAACGAAACAAAAAUCAAAUACCAAAAAUAUCAAGUCAAGAACAUAACUGCAAGAAACUUUCGCAAAAGCUGCCGGAUAAUGAGCAUACAAGCUGGACCGAUACCACUGAGACAGACAAGCACAUUUUAUCAAACAACUGCGAAGAACA